CCCGGCCCGCGCUCCGCCACGCGCGCGGCACCGCGCCCGCCCCUCCGCCGGCCUGCCUCGCCUGGGCCGCUUCGCUGCUGCCGCUCCCGAAAUGGGUUUGCUGCCCGUGCUCUGAAAGACUUAGUACCUACCCGAAGGGCAAAAGUUUUAUGGGGAAGUGUUUUUGCCUUAGCUAACAACCUUUAUUAAGCACUAACCAAGACACUAAUUCCAGCAUCAGGAAGAAGACAUGACGCAACAACCACUGGUAGAAUUUAUAAGCAAGUUGACUGCACUGUAUUGCAAGCUCCCAGACAGUAGUUAUCACUCCUUACGCUCUGGCAAACAUCCUCGGGAAGAUUCUCAAGCCCAGGCUACAGAGACGGCAUCUAUUUUGAAGCAAUGCAGAGUCAACAGGCUCACACUUCCCUUCCCGGACCAGAAUUUCCAGCCUGCCCUCGGGCUGCUGCUCUCCGCGCCCAGCAGCAGCAGCAGCAGCAGCCGCGGCAGCCCCGGACGGUGUCGGGCUGCGUGGCACCGGUCCUGCAGCAGACUGGGCUCGGCUGCGGAGAGGGCUCUGCCUGGCAGAGGCUCUGCUGGCGUCAAGGGGGCCCUCUAGGUGGGUUCUCCCGGCACCGCGCAACCUGCCCUGCCUCUCCCACCCGCCCGGGAUGGAGGGGAAGGACGGGGCACUAGCGGAAGAGCCUUCCUUAGGACGGUCCGUGCCUCCAGGAUGACAGAAAGCACUGAAAAUUUUGCAUGGAAGUGCAAAAAUCUGCAGGAAAAGAGACGCGCAGGAAGCAGAGUUCACCAUGUUGAUCUGUACUGACAUGUAAAAGAUUCCUAGACUUUUAUACUUCAGCAUACCCAAGGCAUACAUUGUUUGCUUGCCAUUCUUCUAAAUGGUUUACACUGCACUAAGGCUUCUUAAACUUCUAACGACCCAUUGCCCUUUUGGACAGGAAAUCCUGCAGUAUGGAAGCCAGCUGCAACUUCAAUGACAUUAAAACGUGUGAUAAGACUUUGUAUUUGAUUAGGGUGUGGGUGAACUUGGGAGUAACAUGAUAAGCUAUUGCACGUCACAUUUGUAUAGAUCCUAUUUCCUUAAGAUCAUUUCUGAUGCUUGUCACAACCCUAUUCUACAAUACCCCAGAUUAGCCCUAGUAGAGUUGAUGCCACUCGAAGAAAGUAUAAAAUAUUAAAGUACUUGAAUGUCACAGUG